UACGUAGGGUGCGAGCGUUAAUCGGAAUUACUGGGCGUAAAGCGUGCGCAGGCGGUUUUGUAAGUCAGAUGUGAAAGCCCCGGGCUUAACCUGGGAAUGGCAUUUGGGACUGCAAGGCUUGAGUGCGGCAGAGGAGACUGGAAUUCCUGGUGUAGCAGUGAAAUGCGUAGAGAUGCGGAGGAACACCGAUGGCGAAGGCAGCCCCCUGGGUCGACACUGACGCUCAGGCACGAAAGCGUGGGGAGCAAACAGG
rnacentral:rRNA from 1 species